UACAGAGGGGGCAAGCGUUGUUCGGAAUUACUGGGCGUAAAGGGCGCGUAGGCGGCCUGUUAAGUCGAACGUGAAAUCCCCGGGCUCAACCCGGGAACUGCGUCCGAUACUGGCAGGCUUGAAUCCGGGAGAGGGAUGUGGAAUUCCAGGUGUAGCGGUGAAAUGCGUAGAUAUCAAGAGGAACACCUGAGGUGAAGACGGGUUGCUGGGCU
rnacentral:rRNA from 1 species